CAACCCACCAAGGCAAGGGCACAGCCUAAAGUCAUCUAACCCAGCAGCUCAUCUAAAGUCAUCUAACCCAUAGCUCCUCGCUAUGGGGGAUGAGGAGAGUUGCCAGGUAAUUUCCCCUUGAUGGCUGGGGCAGGAUGGAUGCAACCAGUCCUCACCAAGCCUGCAAGCCCCAGCACCUCCAUGAGCCUCUCAGCAGGACUGGAGAGGGACAAGAGCAGGCAGAGGGACCUGCCCAGGGACCAAGUGGAGAGCCCGGCAUCUCUGGAGGACCAGCAUGCUGACAGGCAGUAACACAAAACUGAAGAGUUGUACUGAAAGGAAGCUGAAAUGGAAAGUUAGGAGUCAAAUGGUUUCAGGACUCACAGAUUUUAUUUAAACAGUACCUAAAUGUUCGUAGAGUGAACAACAGAAUAAAGUCUAUCAGAAGCAAAGUAUGGGAAUGAAGUUCAGAAAGGGAAUAUGGAAGAAAUGUGCACAGAGGUAAGCCAAUGUUAGAAGUCAAUAUAAAUGUAUUAAAAAACCUUCUGAAAAGCAAUUUUCUAAAGCUCUGAAAGCUAAUAACAAAAGCUGCCUCAAAGCAAGUGGUUUUCCAGACAGCUGUUCAGACUGAUAGAUGAUCAAUAUGUGACAAAUGAGCACUCAAGACACAUUAUCUCAUGACAGCAAAGUCAAAUAAAUACUGAGGAUGCAUCCCACCCUGCAGCCUUUCCUCCUGGAGAACACAUCUGAAGAGAUUCCUCAAACUGAAGCGUCAGUAGAAAAGAUUUUCAAACAAACUGAUAAAAUGAAUGAGACCAAUCUGCAAGGCCAGUCAGCAUUCACCCAAGAGCUCUAUGGAAAUCCAGAGAGGAAAUUGCUGAAUGGUUAUCUGUGGUGCAAAGCCAGCCUGCUGUUUAAAUCAGCCUAUGCCAAAAGAACAAAAGCAAUAAAUGUAAUGCAGAAUGAAAAAGCAGGUUCCAGAGAAGGAACGAAAACACACAAGUGUGAUUCUGUGUAAGGCAAACUGAUCAACAUUCUAAAAAAGAACAUUAGAGACAGCAGAGAGCAAGGUGUAAUGUGGAAGAGUCAAAUGUUGUAUCUGCAGGAGGAAAUCCUGUUUCACAAAUUGAGUUUUUGGGACUGUCACUGAGGGAAUGGUGUUGUGAGUGAUGCCAUUCCCUUGGCUUUACAAAUGUGAGAACCUAUGAAAAAUUUCAAGGGGACCUGAAACUUCAAAAGAGAAAAGCCUAAAGAAUGUUGUGUGUACAUGGGGUGACUAAGUUUGAGCUAAUGGUGAUACUGGGCAUCUUGUUGGUGCAGUAGGGGACAGGGAGCACAGUGAGGAGGUGGGAUGGGGCAAGGCAGGACAGGUUACUGCUGCUCACCAGGAUCCGGGAGACCAGGGACACUACAGGGAACAGCCCACUAGGGGAUUUUGGCAGAGAUGGGACUAUACCUCAUGUCCAUCUCCACACACAACCCCUCUCCUGACCACAGGAACAACCUCCCAGCCUCACACAGGUCCUAAGCAAACAAAUGGGAGGAUUUUUACUGGUUUUAAUGAUGUAUGAGGUCAGAUGGAGCUGAAGCCAGACCAGCUGCCAGUGCAACUGUGCAUAAAUCAGUGCAUUGGCUCGCAGAUGGAGAAAGAGUUGAGGUUUUUGCAGGUCCUUACCCAGCUAUUCAGCCUCCCCUACAUCUCACACCCAAGAAAUUUUGGAGCCAGCACUGCCCUUGCUGAAGUCCCUGGGUGAGCUGUCCUUGUCCUCGAUGGCCCCAGGGGCCCUGUCUAAGCUGCCACAGCGUGGCUCAGCCUCUGACAGGUCCCUGGGGACACAUUUAUGGCCCUGCCUUAGCUGGAGGGAGGCACUGAGACACUGGUUUGGGUAAGGUAGUACUUCCACUAGGGCUAGGCUGAGAACUUCAGUUUCUUUUAACUUUAAACAACACUACUUCUUUAUAAAAUUGAGCCUCUCCACCUGCAGCAGAGUGCAGAUCCAAAUUGAUUUGCAACACUGCUGAGGACCCAGUGUCUCCCACCAAGAAGCAUGGUGAUGUAUCAGAAAGUCAGAUAUCUGUUGGACAUUCAGUGAUGGUAGGGCUAGAGGGAACCUGUAUGAUUAUUUAGUCCAGCUUUCCACACAAUUCAUACAGUAAUUCCUGCAUCAUGUCCCCAUCUUAAAACGUAUAAUCUGUUUUUGAAAUGUGUCCAGUUUUUAUUUAUACAAUUCAAGCAGUAUAGACUCCACUAUUCUUUCAUGCAUUGUAUUGCAAGCAAUCAUUAUGUUUGGCAUAACUGCACUGUUCUUCUCACAAGCCUCAUUUUUUCUGCCUCUGGGUAUCAUUGCACCUCUUUCUGAUAGACAGAAAAGCCACAGGACAGCAGCAACAUCCUCCACAUGGAGAGGUGAACAGGCAACAAAGGCAUUCACCCUUUGCUCUUUGCUGAGAUAGACUGACAAAACAUAUUUUACAGACCUCAGAUCACGGUUACAGCUGAAGAGAAGAGAGGACACUUAAAUCUCAUCAUUCAGGCUAAGAGAACAAAACUGAGCUGCAGACUGUCAUAAGCACUUUUUUCCUCUAAAUGCAUAUUGACUGUGUCAAGUAAAAAAUAAGCAUUUAAAAAGAAAUACAGUUUUAAGUCAAUGACAGAUAUGACUCCAAUUUACAUUGUGUGUGAAUAAUUCUCAUUUCCUAUCUCAUUUCACUAUCCCUCCUCAGUUUCAUACUAUCCAAGAGGACUUUCAUAAUCCUGCCCAUGCACAUUUGCCAAGUCUCCAAAUAGCUUUAAAACAACCCACUGAUGAGAGACCACCAACUUUACAGGUUCUUACAACUCCCACUGUACAUUUUAUGGGUAUUUAGAAAUGCUACAGGGUUUUCCUAAUGCUGGAGAAAUUUCAGUUCUUUUCACUAAUAAUAGACAUGUGUUUCAGCAGCCUUUCCUCACUUUUCCUCUCCUCGCCUGCCUAUAUUCUCAAAUUGCUGCUUUUUAAGAUGUAUUUUUCAUAGAACUAUAAAACCAGAGACAUUUUUUUCUUUUUUUUUUUUUUCUUUUCUUUUUUUUUUUUUUUUUAUCCUCAGAUUAAGGACUGGACAAAACUCUCAGCCUGCCAAGCUAAUGCUUUCUUCCUUUCUUUUUUCUUUUAUUUUUUUUUUUUGGUUGUUAUUUAAAUACUUCACAAUAAAAGAAUGUGCUCCCGAUGGAAUUUUUACUGCAAAAAGAAAAGUUUUCCCUUUCUUCUUUCUUAUAUCUUGUACAUUUUGAAACACGUACUGAAACCCUGAAACCUCCUGAGGAAGAUGGCUGCUCACAUGUCAGACU